CUUUCUUUCUUUCUUGUCUCUGUGCCUUUAUUUGCAUUGUCCCAACUUCCAACUCCUCUUCCACUACUCAGGUCAAAAACCACUUCCUGAUUACAUCUGUUUCCUCUGGACUAUGUAGAAGAAUGUAAAUGGCUUAUUGACUACUGUGAGAUUUUUAAAGGCAAGAGACUCUGUUACAUUUGUCUUUUGUCGAUUCAUUUGUUUUGAAUAAAUGAAUUAAUAACAAAAUCAAGAAUAGAACCAGGUCUCAAGUUCUAGGAUAGUGUUGCCCCCACCCUUACAUUAUUCACCAGCUGUGACUCAGUAAAAGACAUUUAAAAAGGUAGAAAGAAAAACUCAACCUAUCCCUUGAAUUAAAUAUAGUAUAUGCUCCUCUAUUAAUAAUAGUAGAUAACAGUUUUUAAGUCUUUACUAAGUAUAUUCAAUACAUUUUUAACUUAUAACUCACAGUCAAUCAAUAAGACAUUACUCCCAUUUUCUAAGUGAGGAAGAUGUGACUCAGAGCGGAAGUUAAGCAACUAUUCUUAAGGUCACAAUGAUUUCAUAAAACUAACUUUUAUUGAACAGAUAGGUAUUAGAAACUGUUCUAGGCUCUUUCCCAUAGUAAGUCAUUUAAUCGUCCCAAUUGCCCUAUGAGGUAGGUACUCAUAUAAAUUUCAACAAUGAGGAAACUAAAAAACAGGGAGUGCAAGUACUCCAUGCAAAGUGGUAAUCAGUAAGGCUGGGAUUUAAACUCAAAACACUUCAUCCCCUUCUCUCAAUUACUGUGCUAUAGCGAUUCUAGCAUCUCUGAUAUCAAACUCAAAUUCCAAAGUGUUAUGUGACAUUUAAUGUGCUUUAUAGUAUAUAUGUGUGUAUACAUGCCUUAACUCCUUGAGGACAUAAGUCAUGGCUUUCUCAUCACUGUGUGUCAUACAGUGUCUAACAGUCCAACACUAAGUUUUAUGGACUAGGUUCUCAAUAAAUAUUAGAGGCACUAAACUUUUGUACUCUGCCUUAAAUCAACAGCAACAACAAAAAAAUUAGGAGACAAUUCUCGGAGUCUCUCACAUUUCUCUGCAUCUUAGAGAGGCAUUGACAGCCAUUUGUUCCAGAUUACCUUCUCAUCCAUGCUAGUGCAGCAAACAUCCUUGAAAGACAGACAUAAUAUCUCCCUCUGGAGUAAAGCAUACGUGUGCUGAUAGCUUUAGAGCAUAGAGGUAACAUCUCCUCCAGAGCAAAGGACAAGUGUGUGUACUGCCCAUUAUAAAAAUCCAGGUUCCCAGAGCUCAGGAUUCUUCCUCUGUAACACAACCCAUUUCUUAUGCAAACAUUUGCCUCAGCCCUGUGGGAGACUUGGGAGCAAGAAGAACUGAUACAAAUAGGUUUAUGCUACUUGCUGGCCAUGAGUUAUAAAGUCCUUUGUCUCUAACCUAGGAAUCCUGGGUCUUCUAGCAUCCUAAGAACUGUGGCAGGCUAACUUGGCAGCUUGUAAGAAAAAACUCUGGCAUUCUUGUCUGCAAGAAGUGUGAUAUAAUAUCAAAAGACUUAGGUUUCUCCCCUUCUGAGAACUGUCCUCAGGAUGCUCCAGUGUCUACUUUUCCAUUGUGGUAGGUUUACAGUGACAGGAUUUACCCCUGGAGGAUUUGCAAAUGGAAGAGAGGCCUCCAAUUUUGGGCGGAUACUUUAGUUAGGAAAUCUAAUUGACUGCAGAUUUAAACCACAUUUUGCCAACUUUUGAAAAAUAAAGCUAGCAUGCUGAUUUUCAUCUAUAUGACUUUUAUGCCUUACAAUUCAACUGUUUUACAAUUGUGCAAAGAUAAAGUGUGGGUUUUAUUAGCCUCAAAUCCCAACAGAAACAUGUUUCUAAAACAUGUACAUAAUUCUUUUUGCCUUACAUUUUGAAAAAAAUGUAAAAGAGAUGUUGCUAAGUGCCUCAAAGAACUUGUCUAUUAUAUAUUUACCAGAGAGGUACCAAUUGCAUUUUAUCUUACUACUUGAAGCUCUAUGGUUAUUAUUUUAUAAUUG